rnacentral:rRNA from 1 species
UACGAAGGGGGCUAGCGUUGCUCGGAAUCACUGGGCGUAAAGGGCGCGUAGGCGGCGUUUUAAGUUGGGGGUGAAAGCCUGUGGCUCAACCACAGAAUUGCCUUCGAUACUGGGACGCUUGAGUGUGGUAGAGGUUGGUGGAACUGCGAGUGUAGAGGUGAAAUUCGUAGAUAUUCGCAAGAACACCGGUGGCGAAGGCGGCCAACUGGACCAUCACUGACGCUGAGGCGCGAAAGUGUGGGGAGCGAACCGG